UAGGUUUGUCCUGAGUCAAACUUCUUUAAAUUUGAUCAACUUCAUACAAUUUUUUUAACGUCUACAACAUCAAAUAUAUAGUAUGACAAUAUAUGUUAUGAUGAAUCUAAUGUAACUGAUUCAGUGUUAUAAAUGUUCGUAUAUUUUUCUUCAAACUUGGUUAAACUUAAAAGAAGCUUGACUUAGGACAAACCUAU
rnacentral:pre_miRNA from 1 species